AUGACGGACGAGCGUUUGAUGUCAAUGGAAGCCAGCUCCGCCACCCAGGCCCUCCUCUGCAAGGCCGACGAGGACACUGCUUUCUCCAAGCAGAUCGCGCAGAUCUAUCCGAUAGGAAUGGCUGAUGAUGAUGAAAUACUGAACGAUGACAAGGAUAUUUCAUCUAAGAUAUAUGUUUGUUGCUUGCUCUACACAUGUGUGGUGCUCCAGCUCAUGCAUUCGUUUGAUCUGACCAUGGUGCAUGGCAUACAUGUGUAUGUGAUAUGGAGAAUUCUGAACAUGGAAGAUGAAAGACAAAUGUUGGCUGAGUGUGCUGGUCCUAAAGUGUUCCUUCAACGCUUCUUCACCUGGGAGGCCUCCAAACAAAUGCUAUGUAUUUGCUCUUAUGUGGACAUGGUGGCUAAUCUGAAACAAAGUCAAUGUUGGAGAGAAAAGAUGCCAUUGGCUCAAAGAUGGAAACCGCCUGAAGCUGAUGUGCUGAGAGUGAACAUUGAUGGUAGUUUCUUCUCACAUUCAGCUGAGGGAGGCUCGGGUUUUAUAGUCAGAGACAACUCAUGCAAUGCGGUGGGCUUAGGAGCAGGAAAACUUUGUCAGCUUCAAGAUCCUAUGCAUGCAGAGGCGGAGGCAUGCUUGCAUGUAGUUCAGGAGGCUCAAACUUGUGCAAUGAGGAGAAUUACUAGACAGACACACAGGAGCUGGUAUAAGGAGAAGCAUCAAGCUAUAAAGGAGAUCAAGAGUAUCAACGUGGUUACAUGGAUGACCUGA
rnacentral:rRNA from 1 species